rnacentral:rRNA from 1 species
GACGAACCGUGCGAACGUUGUUCGGAAUCACUGGGCUUAAAGGGCGCGUAGGCGGGCUCUCAAGUCAGGGGUGAAAUCUUUCGGCCCAACCGGAAAAGCGCUUCUGAUACUGGGAGUCUCGAGGGAGGUAGGGGUCGGUGGAACUGGUGGUGGAGCGGUGAAAUGCGUAGAUAUCACUAGGAACGCCGGUGGCGAAGGCGGCAUCCUGGACCGGUAUUGACGCUGAGGCGCGAAAGCUAGGGGAGCAAACGGG